rnacentral:rRNA from 1 species
UACGUAGGUGACAAGCGUUGUCCGGAUUUACUGGGCGUAAAGAGCGCGCAGGCGGUCGAUCAAGUCGAGUGUGAAAGCCCCCGGCUCAACUGGGGAGGGUCAUUCGAUACUGAUCGACUCGAAGGCAGGAGAGGGUAGUGGAAUUCCCGGUGUAGUGGUGAAAUGCGUAGAUAUCGGGAGGAACACCAGUGGCGAAGGGCGACUACCUGGCCUGUUCUUGACGCUGAGGCGCGAAAGCUAGGGGAGCAAACGGG